GGGCGCUGUCAAACAGUUAUAAAACAGCUCUGGGCUGACAGAAAGCAACCAGAAUACUCAGGCCCUGCCCCACCGAGGACUGCAGGCCUUACUGGGAAACAGCACCUGAAAGCAGAGCAGAGCAAGAAAGCUUCCUCUCUAGCUGUACAGGGUUUUUUUGGCACACAUGCCUAUCCCUGGCCUAGGCUGUGAUCCUACAUUUGUUCCUUGGCACAAGCACAACAGCUUGAAUACUCCUGCAGAACUUUCUUCUAUGCAGUUUCUGAAGGCUUGUCUACAUUACCCGCAGCGAUCGAUCCAGACGCGAUAAAUCGACCGCCAAGCACUCUCUCGUCGAUUCUGGUACUCCACUGGAGCAAGAGGCACAGGCGGAGUCGACGGGGAGUGUCAGCAGUCGACUCACCACAGUGAGACUCCACGCACUUUCAAGGCAAACGGCAUUCUAACGAACUCAAGCUACCUUGCUGCCUCUUUCUCUGCCCCAGCAGCUCCACUGGAAGAGUCUUGCCCGCAUAGUCAGGGCAUGGCGCCAUCAGCGGGAGCAGCAAAAAGAGGAAGGGCUGUUCUCUGAGAUAAAACAACUGGCACAGAAACGCUACUGAUAUUCCUGCAGUGUUGGAGAACUGUAUCCUUAUCUGUCCCUGCACAAGCAGGAGUUUUUUUAAAAAGGGAGUAAAGAAUUGUGAUGUCUCCUAGCAAUAGCCCCAGCACUCUUGAGGAACCUCAGCAGAAUGCAGAGCUCUCCGUUAUUUCAGGGACACAGGUAACUUUGAUCCCAUGGGUCAGCAGCAAUCACUGGAGCUGUGCACAGCAGUGAAGCUGAGCAUCCCCUGCUAGGAUCUUCCCCACACAAGAAAGCUGUCAGGAGGAGCAGUCUGUAUUCAUGGCCACUUUCCAGAGUGCCAUGGCAAUGCUCUCAUCCACAGAGACAGCAGCUCUCCAAGGGCUUGUUUUCUGCUGCAAGCCAGCUGCCAGCUCCACACACCAAAAACAAAAUGUAGGUGUGGGCCUCUGCAAGUGUCUCAGCCAGACCCUGCCACUCCUGAUAGCCACAAUGUUGUUCCACCAGCUGAGCCUGGCAUGGCCCACAGUCUGCUUUAUUUGCAGUUCCGUUCUGCAGUACAGAUGGAGAGAAACCUCUGCAUUUGCCUCUGCUUCUUUUUCAGGAUCUCUGGGAACUGUUACCAUUUCCGCCCUGCCCUGCUUCCAGGCUGUCAAGCUGCAAACUUUAUAAGCUGGAGGAUGUGGCAAUCUGGCAUGCCAGGAAAGUCAUUGUGAUACAUAAAUGGCAACUGUGUUUGAGGACUAUGGAAUCUGUGUAAGAACUCCUACACUCCUAGGCAGAAAGGGAAUGGGAUCUGGGAAAAAAUAAAAUAAAGAUACCCAUAGACCUUGGUGAAGACAGCUGCUGAGAACAUCCCACAAUGCAUUCAUAAAAACUGGUUAGGCAGCGUGGUAGAUGCAGAUGCAAGAACACAGUUGUUAUGUCAGAAAUACUUCCGCAAGGACACAAAUCAAACUCUCUUUCUUGAAACCAGUCAGUUUAACUAUGCCACUAACAAGCUACAAAAUCACAGUUGUAGAUGUCAUAUGGCAGGAUCUUUAUUCUACUGCUGGAGAUUAGGGAGGGAAAUAAUACUGAAGUAAUCCACCAAUAUUCCUGAAAAAAAAAUCAGUUACUUUAACCCUUGACUGCAGCAAACCACCUGAGAGGGUCUGGUUACUUCAUUUUCACCAGAUGGGAUGUUGGAUCAGAAGAAUGAUGACACCGGCCACAGAGGUUCAAUCUGGAUAGUGUUGCAAUGACCAGAAUGGUGUUCCAAGGCUGUGGUCCAUGACCUUGUGGAGCUCAAAUCAGGACUGCUGCCCUAAGGAGGGUCCACGAGAGCAAUAAUCACUUCAUGCAAGUAUCCAUUUUGAACCUAUCUGAUUCUGCCUGGAGAAAUGGCUUUGCAAUAGCAGACCACUCAUCUGUAAGAGAGACAUCAGAAGUUUUGAUGCUAGAUUAAUCAGACCUGAGAAUCUUAAUCUUUUCAGCCAGAAAUGCAUGAAUAGUAUCACUGCCAUGCUAUCUUUAAAUCAUCUGUAUGAUUCUGAGGACCAGUGGGAAGGCAUACAAAGAGAUUGCCCAGCUUUGAGAGAGAGAUCCUCCAUCAAUUUGCAUUCCAGAUCCUGACAUACAGAUGGGUCACCAGGGACUUUAUUGCUCUUUCCAGGUGCAAAGAGGUCAAAUCACCAGGCUAUCAAAUUGUCUUACAAUGAGUGAGGUUAUUUAUGGAUCCAUUCUGUGUAAUCCAACUACUGUCAUGUAAGCCUUGAUACUGAUCUUCCCCUUGGUGGGCAGUGCAUAUAGAGAUAGGAAACUCUGCUCUGCCCAGGACAGGAGAUGUUGAUUGUCUCUCUGAGGAAGGACUGAUCAUGUUUUUCGUAAUUUAUUUAUGAAAAUCUCAUCAGACACAUUGACCAUCAUGACUAAUACAAGACUGGAAGGAGCAGUGCACCAAGACUUCAAAAAAAUCAUUGUGUUCUAGCCAAUGGAUGCUGUGAUCUCUUUCCUUCUCAUACCUAUUCCCUGGAUUGAAUUGGGACCCCUGUGAGCCAUCUCUAUUAUCCCCAGCUGGCAUCUGACAUAAGGACUACUCUGCUUAGCCCAAUAAUGGGUGGAUCUCUUUGAAAAAAUCUGAUUCUCUGCCUUCACCAACUGAGGAGGCAAAGAAUAGACAAUGGGACUUUGGACCUCUGCCAACAGAUGUGAUAGAGUGAGAUAGGGAGAGGACUACAGGAGUUACUGGAUAGGACUCAUUCAUCAAAACACAUCUGUACAUGAGAUCACCAUUUCCAAAAAAGCUCCAACAAGAACUUGAUUUUUAUUUCUGUGACAUCAUUUUUUUUAUAGCUACUUCAUCUUCUGUUAACAUUCUUCUGAGAUGAGACCUUGUAUCUGAUAGUAUUCAUCCUCAGGUCAAAUUUAUGGUGGAUUUCCCUCACACCAUGUGUCUGUGUUUAUCAUGAGCCUACCAUACCCCACAACCAUAUCACUAUUCGUGCUUGUUUCAACUUUCUCCAUACAGAGCCUUGAUCAGAAAAACUGUCCAGGAAGAGAGAAAAAGUGAAUUUCUUUGUCCCUAAAAAUCAAUAUUUAAUAUUACCACAGCCCUGUAAGAGAUCCUGGGUGGCCCAGCCAUUUCAAAUGGUGAUGACUGAAAAUGCAAAAAAUAAAAAUAAAAAUAAAGUUGCCAUUCAUAUGCAUAAUGGGCAAAUUGUCAUCUGUAAUACAGUAAAAUGGGAAAGAGAAGAUAUGCCUCCUUUAGGAAUUUAUUCAGAUGUUUCAAGUGGAGUCAUACUCUGUUCGCUCUUUUCUGAGGCUAGAAAUAGGAUGGGGAGCAGGUAGUAUUUCUCCAGUCUGAAGUAAAAGAUGGACAAUUUCAUUCCUGUCCUACAGGAGCAGCCUUAGCAGUUUUGCCAGUCAGGGUGCAAAACGUUUUCAGUGUUCCAGCCCCCUGCACCACACAGUUGAGCAACCAAUAAAUAAAUAAUUUUUAAAAAGUGGCCAGCCAAUCAGAUCGUGGAGAGGAAAAAAAAAAAGUGCCACAGCAGCACAGCGUCCCCUGGAAGUUGGAACCACGGGCAACCACCCGGCUAGCCCAGCCCUAAAACCAGCCCUGCCUGGCAUUCCAUUGGUUGCUUGAGAUUGGGAGAAGGCCAUCCUAUGAUGCCUGCACAGUUCACAGGGUACUCCUCCUGGACAAUGCCCAGUAAUUUCAUCUUGACCAAAGCUGUAGGUAGCUAUUUGUUCCCAAACUGAAAGAACCUAGAACCAGCCAGCAAUCUUACUCCAGACAGGGCUAUUUGGGAGUCUUGCAUAUAGCUCUGAGGCCACAGAGAACAGCUACUGACCUAAUGCCUCAGCACCAUGCACUUGUUCUGCCUACCAUGUGCAAAGUUGUAUUUUCUCCUACUGUACAUCAGGGCCAAUCCCAACUUGCCAUAUGACCUGUAUUCCUUUCUAUAAUGUCAGGCAAGAGCCAGGAUGGCAAACCCACUUUCCCAAUGACUCCACAGACUCUCAGCUUUCCAUAAAGUUUCACAUUGAAUCAUUAAGAUAGCCGGGAAAUGAUCUGCCUGGCUGAUGUCAAGGACCAAAGCCCUAUAUAAAUGCAUGAACCAGCUUAGUAUCUCACUACCUUAUUCUAUUUGUUUGUUUGCUUGUUUGUAGGGAGAAGCCCUUAGGCUAUGGGACUUUAGGUUGAGAGGGACCACACUUGCAGCAGUGGCCACCCAUGUUAGCACUCCUUGCGACAGUGUGCGGAAGCACUUAGGGGGUCAGAUGAGGAGGGAGGUAUUUAUUUUAUUUUUGGUGGGUCAGAUGCCACCCGCAUUUUCCCUAAAAGAGGGAGAACUAAGGUGAUGUCUGCCUGGACUGGGCUGGAUAUGAAGGGGAGGAGUAAAAACCUCUUCCUUCUCCCCCCCUCCUCCCGCAUCCUCCCACACUGUUUGAAUUGACUCC